AAAGCGCCCAACGAACGGGUGAGUUUAUACGUUCGCUAGCUAUGCAGAUACUGAGCCAUUCUGCGCACGCGCGGCCUGUGGGUAGAGAGCAUAGCGUACGGGAUGUGGAAAUAAUUCAGAAGAGAACUUAAUACAACGGUUCCGUGAGAUGGGAGAGGAUACGGAAGAUAGCUCUAAACCGUUGUUAGGCGAUUGGGAAGAAGAUUGCGCGACCAUAAUAUGACAUAAACGUCUUAUAAGGCUCUCCAGAGCCCAGAGGGUAAUGGGGAUUGCACGUCACUGCAUACAUCGUGC